UACGUAGGGUGCAAGCGUUGUCCGGAAUUAUUGGGCGUAAAGAGCUCGUAGGCGGUCUGUUGCGUCGGCUGUGAAAACCCGGGGCUCAACCCCGGGCCUGCAGCCGAUACGGGCAGACUAGAGUUCGGCAGGGGAGACUGGAAUUCCUGGUGUAGCGGUGAAAUGCGCAGAUAUCAGGAGGAACACCGGUGGCGAAGGCGGGUUGCUGGGCCGACACUGACGCUGAGGCGCGAAAGCGUGGGUAGCAAACAGG
rnacentral:rRNA from 1 species